rnacentral:rRNA from 1 species
AGUGAACGCCGGCGGUAGGCCUAACACAUGCAAGUCGAACGGCAGCACAGUAAGAUCUUGCUCUUACGGGUGGCGAGUGGCGGACGGGUGAGGAAUACAUCGGAAUCUACUUUUUCGUGGGGGAUAACGUAGGGAAACUUACUCUAAUACCGCAUACGACCUACGGGUGAAAGCAGUGGAUCUUCGGACCUUGCGCGAUUGAAUGAGCCGAUGUCGGAUUAGCUAGUUGGCGGGUUAAAGGCCCACCAAGGCGACGAUCCGUAGCUGGUCUGAGAGGAUGAUAAGCCACACUGGAACUGAGACACGGUCCAGACUCCUACGGGAGGCAGCAGUGGGGAAUAUUGGACAAUGGGCGCAAGCCUGAUCCAGCCAUACCGCGUGGGUGAAGAAGGCCUUCGGGUUGUAAAGCCCUUUUGUUGGGAAAGAAAAGCAGCAGGUUAAUACCCCGCUGUUCUGACGGUACCCAAAGAAUAAGCACCGGCUAACUUCGUG